rnacentral:misc_RNA from 1 species
AAGUCGUAACAAGGUUUCCGUAGGUGAACCUGCGGAAGGAUCAUUAACAAAUCAGAAGCUUUAUUGCUUCAAGGAGACUUUAAGGAUUUUUUCGAAAAUCUUUAAAUCUCUUAUAUCAACCUGUUGUAUUGUAAGACAAAAUUUGGAACCAAAUAUAAAACAACUUUUAACAAUGGAUCUCUUGGCUCUU